rnacentral:lncRNA from 1 species
AUGGCGGCUCUCGAGACGCAUGUUCCCGUCUUGCUGAUUGGAAUUGUCCUACUUGCGCCGUUUUCCGCGCUCGUAUGCGCUGAGUCCUCCAGGGAGAAAAUCAAGAUCGGACUGCUCCAUCUGAAUCCGGAAAAGACAGGAGCCAAUGGUGAACAAUCUCUUCAAGCCAGAGGCCUUUUCGAUAGUUUCGGGAGUCUUUUCAAUACGGCCGCGUGGAUAACCCCGCCCGGCCUCAGCAACGCCAAACGCGAGGUAGCCGAGGAAGAAGAUAGAUGGGAAGAGGAACAUGAACACGACGAUCACGACUAUGAUGAACACGUCGCGGAAGUGACCAAAGGAAAAGGCACAAGUAACAGCUUCAACAACUUCGGCGCCGGGAAGCAGAACUUCCGCGGCGCCACGAUCAACACUGGCGGCCACACAGACAGCUUCAACCACGACGGCGAUGGUGGACAGGACUUCAGCGGAGCCGCCAUCGACUCGGUUGGUCUCGUCAACGUCGGCAACAACCACAACGGCGGAAUCCAGAGAAACGGCGGCAUCAGGAUUGGUAGCAUCGGCUCGGAUGGUAUCAGCAUCAAUCGUGGUCAUAUCGUCAUGAGCGGCAACGUCAUCAAUGGCAGGAUCAGCAAUGUAGUUAUCGGGAACAACUACAUUCAGAUCGACUCGAAUGGUGUCAUCGUCAACGUCAUCGAUUCUGGAAACCAUGGUCUCAACAUGAUAAAUAACAAGAUCUACAUCGGCGGGAAGAUGAUCUGCUCGACCAAGACGAAAUCCUUCGCCAAGCCCACGUACCAGAAAACUCCCGAGGGCGCACGGUGGUACACGAACGUCAAAGUCGGGACACCGAUGACCCCGGCCGAGAUCGCACAGUUCGAGAAAGACUGGGCGGAGAUCCUCAAAGAGCAGGAGGAAACCGAGAAGAGGUCGGAGAAGGAGGCGGAGGAGAGGGCGCGCAAACACAAGGAAUGGGAAAGAAAGCACAAGGCACAGAUGGACGCCCGGGACGCGCAAUUGGCUCGGGAAGAAAGAGAGUGGGAACGCCAAUGGAAGGAAAGAGAGCGACAGCACCAAAAGGAGAGGAUGGACUCUCUGCAAGCGAGGUCGAAGUGGGAUGCAGAAGUGAGGGCGAGACAGCAGAAUGAAAGAACGAGAUGGCAACAAGCAAGGACACCGGAAAGGGAAAGACAGCAACGGGAGAGGAUGAGUUGGCGCCAGCAGCGAGAGGCCAGGCGAACACCCUCCUGGAAUAGAGGGGAUUCUUUCAGUUGGUGGUAACUUUAGCCGUCCUGCAGGCUGAUUAUUUAAGUUGAUAGACAGAGGGAUAGACAAUGAAGAUGCAGGGAAAACGGAUCGUUUUGUGUUCUCAUUCUAUUGUUUUGUCCAUCAAUAUUAACAAUCAGCCCGGUGUGUGCUAAAAGAAACCCCUUAAGUUGUCAGUUUUUGCAAACAAGAUAAAGGCCGUUUUUUACAAAGGGAUCAAUUUCAGUCUUCGAAUGUGAAUGUUUACGCCGAUGAAGUGUUAAAUUUUUUAGUUCGUAUGACAUUUUUGUUCCUGGUAGUUGUGUAAAUAAAUCAAUUCGUUUCAGCAAAUUCUUUGGUUCUCUUUCUAUUUUGUACUAGAACGACUGGUAACUUUGCUGACCGCGUCAUAAAUUCACCAAAGUAAAGCCAUGGCUGUGUCGCAGGCAAUCGCCGGCAUAUCACAAUGUGUGCGUUGGAUAAGAAAAUGGAAAGUAAGAAACCAGUAUGUGGAGUUUUUUAUGUUUGAUAUUCAAUCGAAUUUCAAUGAUUAUCACUCAUUAGCACAUUCUUGCCUGCGUUUUCUAAAACCAGGGACCUCAGAUCGUUUUUGUUCGGAUAGGCAAUAGCUGAAUUAACGCGAGUGCCACCUUUGCAAAUUGCCGUUGAUUUCUAAUUGUCUGCGACAACUGCUCAAGGGCAGAGGUACAACCGUCCUCUGGGGCUUCUAGUAGAAUACCUACUUUACAGACUGGGAGAAUAUGGGCAGGUCUGCAAUCAUAAAUAUCCGCCAGGUCUUUAUUGAUAGAUACCUCUUUUUUUUCCCUUAGUCUGUAACAACCAAUUGUUGCAAGCAUCAGGAUCACUUUAAUUGGAAGGGUUUCCUCUUCUAAGGUG